rnacentral:lncRNA from 1 species
GGUAGAGAGGCUGUUUCCAAAUAGAACCCCGACAUCCUUCCCUCCAAGAACUUCCCACCUUGCUCUUGGGGAGACUCGAAGAACUUCCCACCUUGCUCUUGGGAAGACUCGAACUGACAACCUCUCGGUUGGAAGUGGGGGAUUGCUUACCAUCAGAGCAACCCCUCUUGUCUUAAUAUAUAGUUAUGUUAUAAUAUAUAUUCUAUAUAAUAAUACUUCGCUAUAAUAUUCAAAUAUAUUCGAAAC